UGGGAUAUAGGAUGGGAUACAUGAUUCGAUGAUGGGAUAUAUAACAGGAUAUUGGAUUAGAUGGUGGGAUAUAGGAUGGGAUACAUGAUUCUAUGAUGGGAUAUAUAACAGGAUAUUGGAUUAGAUGGUGGGAUAUAGGGAUACAUGAUUCGAUGAUGGGAUAUAUAACAGGAUAUUGGAUUAGAUGGUGGGAUAUAGGAUGGGAUACAUGGUUCUAUGAUGGGAUAUAUAACAGGAUAUUGGAUUAGAUGGUGGGAUAUAGGGAUACAUGAUUCAAUGAUGGGAUAUAUAAGAGGAUAUUGGAUUAGAUGGUGGGAUAUAGGAUGGGAUACAUGAUUCUAUGAUGGGAUGUAUGACAGGCUAUUGGAUUAGAUGGUAGGAUGGACGGAUCAUAUGCUAGAUUCCAUAGGAGGUUCCAUGACUCCAUGACACCAUAGGAUCACUAUCCCCCCGAUCCCGAUCCCAAGCAGCACUAGGGAUCAGAUCCCAGCUCCAGGAAACCCUUUGGAAGAGCUCAUUUGGGUUCAUUUCUGUCUCUUUGCCCUUUGCAGAGGAACGGGAUCUGAUCAUCUGGGAAAACGAAGCUGAGAUCCGGCGCCUGAGGGAGCUGCUGGGUUUUCCCGACCACAGAUCCCAUAGGAACAGGGCUGAGGAUGACAUUAACCCGGAUCCCUUCCCUCUUGCGGAGAGCCAGGAUUCAGGAAUGCGUGAGUGCAUUUGGGGUCCCUGGAAUCUGAUCCCUGAAUCCCUAUGAGGGUUUCUGCUCCUUCCUCAUUCCCAAGGUUUUCCCUCUGGAAUUCCUGCCUUCCCCUUCCAUAACUUCCUCCCCUUCCUCUUGAAGGGAAUCUGGAGCUGAGCUGGAUCCAUAGGGAUUUGGUGGCUCUGGUUGGCUCUUCCCAGCCUUUGGCAUCUGCUGUAGGGAUAACAGCAGAGGGCCAAGGGAUAGAGCCUGGGAUGGGGCUGGGAAAGGGCAAAUCCAGGUCUCACCUUUCCCUCUGGCAGAGGAGCUGAGGGAGCAGGAAGCUGGGAGUGCUUGUUCCCAAUGGAUCCAUCCCAUUCCAUCCCAUCCCAUCCCAUCCCAUUCCAUCCCAUUCCAUCCCAUCCCCAUCCCAUCCAUCC
rnacentral:lncRNA from 14 species